UUUCUUUCUUUUUUUUUUUUUUUUUGUCUGCAUCUGUGGCGUAUGGCAGUUCCCAGGCCGGAGAUCAAACGUACACCAUAGCAGGGACAGUGCUGGAUCCUUAACCCACUGAGCCACAGGAACUCCGUGGCAUGGUUUCCGUUCUCUUUCUGUACCCUUGACCACCCUCUUCCUUUUUUGUUUUUUUUAGUUCCACGUGGCUUCCCAGACCAAAAUGGCACUCUUAAUGGUUUUCGGAGCUGCUUCUGCUACUGAAUUACCUCACUGCCUAUCUGGUCUCCAGGUCCAGUUCUGUUUUCUCUCUCAAUUGCAGGCAAAUUUGAUCUCCUCCCCCCACCCCACUCCCACUAUCUUCUUUUCACUUGUGCCAAGAGCGCCAAAUUUUAAAAAUCCCCCUUUCCGGUCACAGCUGAUGGUGUUCUGCUGGCCAUCCAUGGAUAACUGUGUGAACCUGAGGGAUCCUAGCAUAGUGAAGAAAGAAAAAGUGUUUGUGUCCCAGAAGGGAUUGCUUAGCUGGUUAAGUUUAAACUGUUCAUGGGAAGCUCACAUUAAUCCAGCGAGAAGAUAGAGGCAUUUCCACCCACGUCCCCGAAGCCAUUUCUUUCCUUCUCAUCUUUACUGCUCUAAGCGUGGUCCUUGAACCUGAAACGUUUUUUAGAAAUGCAGACCUCCAGGCCCCACCCUGGACUGACUGACUGUGAAUCUGCAUUCUGACAGGGUUGCCUAGGUAAUUUGGGAGUAGAUUAAAGUUUGAGAAGCACUACUCCUAGUCCCAGGAGCAUUAUUCAGACAGCUUCCUAAGGGGUUCCGUUCCUAAGACAUCCAUUUACUGGGAUCCUUUGCCUAUGGUGGGCUCCAGGUGUUGCUGCUGUUUCAAAAUUGGGUUAAAUGAGCAUGUAAAGAUCCUGACCCCGGGUCUUCUCCACCUCCAGGCUCACUCACCCCUCACUCCUGUGUAGUCAUUUCCAGAAGUGUUGGUCUCCCCUCCUCUCGAAGCUGCAUCUGAUGUUUUGUACUAGAAUUCAAGGAGGGGAGCUAGAGUCACUGCACAGAAGUUCAUGUGCAGUUCUGAUCAGACUCAGAUGAAUUUGUGCAGCCAGAAAAGCUGGUGGAUGUCAGCAGGUCAAAGGUGUUGAGUGAGGGAGCCAGGAAGGAACAGGAACGUCAGCAACACGGCUUUAUUAUUAGCAAGUUUUAAUUGUUUCCAACUCUCCACUAAUUUGAAAAACAGGGCAACCUACUUAAUGACUUAAUUAUUUCUGUCAUUUGCUAUUUCCCUUUCCCUGGGAUGGAUUCUGACAGCAGAGGUAUGGCCAACUGGACACUGUGACUUUUUUUGUUUUUUGUUUUUUUUCACAUCAGAGAAGACAGAGAUGGAGACUCCCAUGUAUGCUGUUUUUUUAAAUUGUUAUUACUAUUAUUUUGUUUGUUUUGUUUGCACCCACAGCGUGUGUAAUUUCCUGGGUCAGGGAUGGAACCCUCACCACAGCAGUGACACCACCAGAUCCUUAACUGCUAGGCCACCAGGGAACUGCUGGCCUUAUUUUUUUAUUUUUAUUUUUUUUUAACGACCACACUUGUGGCAUAUGAUAGUUCUUAGGCUAAGGGCCAAAUUAGAGCUGCUGCUGAAGACUCUGCCAGAGCCACAGCAACACCAGAUCUGAGCCACAUCUGUGACCUAAUACCGCAGCUUGUGGGUAUUAGGUCACAGAGUGAGGCCAGGGAUUGAACCCACAUCCUCACGGACACUGUAUCAGGUUCUUAACCCACUGAGCCACAAUGGGAACUCCUAUUAUUAUUUUUAUAUUUUAUUUUUUGCUUUUUAGGUCUGAACCCAAGGCACAUGCAAGUUCCCAGGCUAGGAGUCUAAUGGAAGCUACAGCUGCUGGCCUAUACCACAGCCAUAGCAAUGCCGGAUCCAAGCUGCAUCUUUGACUUAUACCACAGCUUACGGCAACACCGGAUCCUUAACCCACCGAUGAGGCCAGGGAUCGAACCUGCUACCUCAUGGUUCCUAGUCAGAUUCGUUUCUGCUGCACCACAACAGGAACUCCUUCCCUAUUAUUUUUAAUAUAGCUUAUUUUUAUUUUAUUUUAUUUUUUGUCUUUUUGCCUUUUCUAGGGCUGCUUCCGUGGCAUAUGGAGGUUCCCAGGCUAGGGGUCUAAUCGGAGCUGUAGCCUCCAGCCUACGCCAGAGCCACAGCGACGCCCGAUCUGAGCCGCAUCUUCGACCUACACCAUAGCUCACGGCAAUGCCGGAUCCUUAACCCACUGAGCGAGGCCAGGGAUCAAACCUGAAACCUCAUGGUUCCUAGUCACAUUCGUUAACUGCUGAGCCACGAUGGGAACUCCUAAUAUAGCUUAUUAAACUUCUUUAAUUUUUAUUUGAGAAAAUAAGCCUCUUUGGGACCCAAUUUGGGGAGAUAAUUUGCUAGCAAGUUCUUGCCCUUUUAAAAAACAGUUUUAUUGAGGUAUAGUUUGCAUGCCAUAAAUUCCUCGGGUUUUGAGUGUAUAAUGCAAUGAUUUUUAGGAAAUUGAGUUGUGUAGUCAUUACCAAAACUCAGGUUUCCAUCACCCCCAAAAGAUCCUGUCCUUUUGUAGUCAACCCUGUUUGUACCCCGCACCCCAGACUGCUAAACUAUCUCCGUGAAUUUGCCUUUUCUGAACAUUUAUAUAAAUGGAAUUAUACAACAUGUAGUGUUUUUGUGACCAGCUUCUUACACUUGGCGAAAUAUAGUUUUGAAGUUCAUCCACAUGGUGUCAGGACUUAAUUUUUCUUGCCAAAUAAUAUUCCGAUAUAUGGAUAUGCCACAUUUUGUUUAUGAAUUCACCCGUUGAUGAACUUUUGGGUUCUUCCCCGUUUUUAGCUCAUAUAAAUAAUGCCAUUGUAGACAUCUGCGUGCAAGUCUGUGUGUGGAUUUGUUUUCAUUUCUGUAGCGCAGAUACCUGGGAGUGGGUUUGCUGGGUUAUGUGGUAGAUUUAUGGUUUACUUUAAAAAAAUUUUGUAAGUUGUGGUAAAAUACAUCACAUAAAAUUUAUAAUCUUAGUCAUUUUGAGGUGUAUAGUUCAGCGGCAUUGAGAAAUUCACAAUGUCACCACCGUCUUUCUUCAGUACUCUUUUCAUCCUGCAAAACCAAAACUCUAUACCUACUGAACAGUAACUCCCCAAACUUCUGUCUACUCAAGUCCUGACAACCCGAAUUCUGCUUUCCGUCUCUAUGAUUUGACCACUUUUCACUCUGUCAAUUGUGUUCUUUGAUACUCAGAAGUUUUCAAUUUUGAUUAAGCCCAAAUUAUCUAUUUGUUGUUGUUACCUAAGCUUUUGGUGUCAUGUCCAAGAAAUCAUUGCUAAAUUGAAUGUCAGUGAAGUUUUUUGCCUGUGUUUUUGUCUAAGAGUUUCAUAGUUUUAGGUUUUAUGUUUAGGUUUUUGAUCCAUUUGAAGGUAGUUUUUGUAUACAGUGUAAGGUAAGGGUCCAGCAGCUUCAUCUUUUGCAUGUGAAUAUCCAGCUUUUCCAGCAUCAUUUGUUGAAAAGACUGUCCUUUUCCCAUUGAAUAGUCUUGGCACCCUUGUUGAGAAUCAUUUGACCAUACGUAUGGGGGUUGUUUGUUUUUUUUUUUCUCUUUAGGGCCACACUCAUGGCAUAUGGAAGUUCCCAGGCUAGGGGUUGAAUAGGAGCCAAGGCUGCAGGACUGCACCACAGCCACAGCAGUGUGGGAUCCGAGCUCUGUCUCUGACCCACACCACAGCUCAUGGCAAUGCUGGAUCCUUAACCAGCUGAGCAAGGCCAGGGAUUGAGCCCAAAUUCUCAUGGAUACUAGUUGGGUUCAUUGGUUUCUGCUGAGCCAAGAUGGGAACUCUUUUUUUUUUUUUUUUUUUUUUUUUUUUUUUUAGUGAACUCCUAUGUUUAUGUGAGGAUUUGGGUUUUCUCCUGGUCUUCUGUUUAACUUUUCAAGAAACUGCCACACUGUUUUCCAAAGCGACCACACCAUGGUACAAUCCCCUCCAACAAUGUAUGAGGGUUCCUGUUUAUAUCCUUGAAAAAAUUUAUUACUUGUUCUUUUGAUUAUACCCAUUCUUGUGGGUGUGACGUUGUAUCUCUUUGGUUCUUGACCUUAAAACAUUCUGCCUUUGUCCAGCUUGGGACAGAGAGGGGGUAAAACAGAGGGAUGACCUGCCCACCCACAACCAUGGGACCAAUUAUCUGCCUGAACACACUCAGUGCUUCUGUAGGGUGGACUGAAUAAACCCAGGCAGGGUCUUAACAUCUUAGAGCCUCAGUUUUCCCUUCUGAAUAAUGGGGCCAAGAAGUCCCUUUCUACACAGGGUGCGGUAGGAACAUGUAUACAAGUGCCUUUUUCUUUGGUGCUUAAUACUGUUAGGUUUGCUGAGGGAGGAACGCACAAGGCCAAGUUGGUAAAGCAAAAGAGAUUUACUAAGGCGUCAGAGGGGGAUGGGCUGACCUCAUAAUGGUGUCAGCCUUGACUGUGAUGAGGUGCUAGGCGUAUAAAGGAUCUGUAGGGGGAAUCUGGCUGGAGUUCAUAGCUGGAAUGAUGAAGGAGGUAGGAGGGAAAGGUCAAGGGAGGGGUAGGGGGUCGAAUCCCAUGACAGAGGGCAGUUAAUCCUUGUAGGUGGCUGAUUUAUACAGGCCAUUGUUUCUUGCUCCCCAACCUGAGCAUACACAUUCGGGAAAGGGUGUCCACAGCAGGUCUCCAAGGUGAACCACAUUUGGGCAGGGGGUGGGGGGGGUCUCUCGUCCUCCUGGGAACCUAUCAAAUACAUGUUGACGAACAGUUUUACUCCAUAAAUUUCCCUUCAGUGUGUUUUUGCUGUGAACAUCCUGGGUGCUGAUUUAACUUGUCCAGCAAAUAGGACUUCCUGGCAUUUUAAGCAUAACAGAAUCCUGCUAGACCCCUGGGCUGUCCCUCUCCUGUUCCUCUGGAUGCCACUCAGAUCUCUUCACGCCCGUCUCACUCACCAGCACUGAGCAAACAGGGAGCACCCUGCUCCUUUGCCUGCCUGUCAUCUGGGUCAUGAUCACUUGUUUAUCCAGUUUGACUUCCCUCUCAUCAUCUAUCCUGGCUUCUCUGCACUCUGACAAAAUCCGAUGCAUACGCUUGACCUCUCACCCUGGAUCCUGUUGGGGCAAAACCCAUUUUUAUCCUAGGCCUGACGACUGUGGUGAGGUGGCCUUUUCUUUCUGGGUGCGGCCACAUCUGCAGAAACGAGCUCCUGGGGGAGAUAAACAGGCUUCGCCUCCUGAGCCUGGGUUGCUAGCUGCUGUGGUAAUUGGCUUGGCAGUUGGCAGCGCACUCCCUGUAAAGGUUGUCCUUCACCUGAUACUUGGUGAAAGCUGCAAGGCCAACCCCCUUGGGAGUUCCCGUAGACAGCAGCUGUCUUGUCUAAUUAAGGAGAGACAGGGAAAAGGUGUUUUGAAGGGAGACCUCUUAUCUCACAGAACAGUUGGCGGGAGCUGAACAUCUGGAGGGAAGAUAGGAAGGCCGAGGCAGAGGACAUAGUGGCCGCAGCCUGCAACACUUGGCAGAAAAUGCUUUGCUGGCAGUUGAGGAUAAUGUUUGAAUGUUUUCUAAGGACUUAAUGUGUCCUCUGUAGUCACCUGGGCAAUAGAUCCCAUACUUAUUAAAACAUGUUGUGCACAACACAGCACUGUAAAGCAACCAUACUUCAGUAAAAUUAAAAAGAGAUUUUGUGCACUUAAGGCUCCAGGUGUCCCACAAUACUUGGAUACAGAUAGGAAGUACUUUUCAUAUCCUGCCAAAAUGAAAAAUCCUGAAACAACUGAGCGAAACUUGGGAACCUUACCGAUAUUUCAGUGGGGUAUGACUUUAGUCAUUUAGAACUGCUUAAGAAAUUUUGGGACUAUUCUGAGCCUAAGCUGUCAAGAUCCAUAGUGAAGACCUGAGUUUUAGGGGUCAAUUCCCUUUACACUUGAGAGCAGCAGUGUCUGUAGAAAUAUAAUGUGAAUCCACAUGCAUAACUUAACAUUUCCUAAUAGCCACUUGUAUUACCUUCCUAAGGCUGCCAUAGCAAAUGAUCACCAACAGGGUGGGUUAAGCAAAAGAAAAUUCCUUUAAUUCAGUUUUGAAGGCCAGAGGUUUGAAAUCAAGGUGUCGACAGGGCCAUGCUCCCUCUGAAGGGUCUGAAAAGAAUCCUUCUUGGCCUAGUCCCCAGCAUCUGGUGGCUCCUGGCAUUCCUUAGCUGCCUUUGGCUUGAUAGACCUGUCUCUCCAGUCUCUGCCUUUGUCUUCACAUGGGAUCUUUCCAUGUGUCCAAGUCUCACUCUCGUCUUUCUCUUAUAAAACUACUAAUUACUGGAGUUCCCUUCAUAUCUCAGUGAUUAAUGAACUGGACUAGGAUCCGUGAGGAUGCAAGUUCGGUCCCAGGCCUCACUCAGUGGGUUAAGGAUCUGGCAUUGCUGUGAGCUGUGGUGUAGGUCGCAGAUGCGGCUCAGAUCCUGAGUUGCUGUGGCUAUGGUGUAGGUGGGCGGCUACAGCUCUGAUUCGACCCCUAGCCUGGGAACUUCCAUAUGUCACAAGUGGAGCCCUAAAAUAGCAAAAAAAAAAAAAAAAAAAAAAA
ensembl:lncRNA